GUUUCUGCUAAUGUUCACCAUAGUCUGUGUCUGUUAAUAGGUGAUUUAGAAUUUUAUAUUUUCCUUCUUGGUUACUUACAAGAUAAUUUAGUAGUGCUGAAAACUUUUCUCUAGUUAGAUUAUUUUUGGUUUCUUUUUAGAUGCAGAAUAAUAUCUUUACCUAUUUACAUGUUUUGAGAUUUUGCAUUUGAUUUAGGUGCUAAAGAUUUUAGAUAAAGCUCUGAUUCAAAAAUAACCUGAAUUCUUGGAAGCUUAAAUUAUUUAAAGUUCAAUAAGUAGAUUGUUUAGGUCAUUUUACUUACUUUAGUGCUUUACAUUAAAAUUUUCCUGUUUAAUGAACAUUUAACUAAUUAGGAAAAUUUACUAAUCAAAUUGUCAGACUCUGUUAAAUGGCUUGUCAAAAUGUUUGUUUACCAAUUAUUCCUGUCUUAACAUUGUGGAUCUUUCUAACCCUCUAGUUCAGUUUUUUCUGGGUAAUUGUGUUAAGUGGUACUAUUUAGCAAUUAUUUUAAAAAUCCUUUAUUAUGAAAAGAAGUCAGUGUGGACAAUUAAUAAAGCAUAAAAAGUUUAAAGAAGCAAAAAAAUAAGUAUACAAAAUCAACCAUAAUUUUACCAUUCUUAGGCAGCCACUCUUUUUUUUUUUUUUUUUUAACUUUUUAGAGCAAUUUUAGGUUCAUUGCAAAAUUGAAUAGCAGGUACACUGAUUUCUCGUACGCCUCCUGCCCCUGCACAUGCACAGCCUCCUCCAUGAUCACCGACCCCACCAAAGUGGUACGUUGCAACCACUGAUGAGCCUAUAUUGACACACCAGUAUCACCUGAAGUCCAUACUUUACGUUAGAAUUCACUCUUGGUAUUGUACAUUCUCUGGGUGUGGGUGAAUUUAUGAGGUGUGUAUUCAUCAUCACAGUAUCCUACAGAGUCAUUUCACUGCCCUUAAAAUCCUCUGUCCUCUGCCUAGCUAUCUCUUCCCUCUAACCCCUGGCAAACACACAUCUUUUAACUGCCUCUGUAGUUUUGCCUUUUGCAGAAUGUCAUGUCAUUGGGAUCAUACAGAAUAUAGACUUUUCAGACUACUCUCUUUCACAUAGUAAUAUUUAUUUUUCCUCCCUGUGUUUUCAUAGCUCAUUUGUUGGAUAACUCAUUUGUUUUCAGUGCUGAGUAAUAUUCCAUUGUGUGACUGUACCAAAGUUUAUGUAUUCCCUUAAUGAAGAAGAUCUUGGUUGCUUCCAGGUUUUGGCAAUUAUGAAUAAAACUGGCAGAAACAUCUGUGUGCAGACUUUUGUAUGUGGAAAUAAGUUUGCCGUUUCUUUGGGUGAAUACCAGGGAGUGUGGAUCAUGUGGUACGGGUAUGUUUUGUUUUGUAAGAAACCGCCAGGCUGUCCUCAGAAGUGACUGUAACAUUUUACAUCCCCAGCAGCAAUGAGUGAGAGUUCCCAUCGCUCCACAUCCUCCUUAGCUUUUGGUGUUGUCUGGAUUUUGGCCAUUCUAGUGGUCUGUAGUGGUAUGUUGUUGUUGAUGAAGUGGCUAUUAAGUUAUUUGGCUAAUUUUUUAAUUUGGUUGUUUGAAGCAAUUACCUUUGAUGGUAUUAUUUCCUAUCUUUUUAUUUUUAUGCUUUUUUAUGUGAGUGGUUGAGAUUUGGGGUAAAUAUUCCAUCUUUUUUUUUUUUUCCACUUAACAUCAAGGUGAAAUCUUUUUCUGUUUUGUUAAAGUGCGUUAUGUCAUUGGAACAGGUAUGUGAUUAUAAUGAAAUUUGACAUUCACCUGUUCUUAGAAAUUUUUGUUCUUUCUACCUUUUCAAAAUUAUAAAUAAUAUUGCCAUUAAGAUGAUUGUGCCUGUAAACCUCCCUUGUGUUUUGUGUUAUUUUCUUAGAGCAUAUCCUAGAAGCUAAGUGACUGGUUUGGAGAACAGAGACAUUCUCGAGGGUCUUUAAACGUAUUGUGAGAUUACUUUCCAAUGGUUAUAUUAAUGAAAAUACUAGCAGCUCACAGUUAUCGAGCUCUUUGUCUGUUCUAGGCACUAGACUUAGUCUUUCAGAUGUUUUACAGUUUUCCCAGCACCACUGUGUGUGGACUUAGGACAAUUCUUGUUUUAUGGGUGGAGAAACUGAAGCCCAGAAAGAUGGUAAAAGUGGUCAUUAAGAGACACUAAUAAUGACAAAGAUUUGAAUAAAGAGAUCUGCUAUAUAGAGGAAGACUAUUUUUUAAAUUUCAGUUAUUGCCAAAUUGAUUUACAGUGUUAACACAGUUCCAAACAAAAUCCCUUAAUUAAGGUAAAAUAUAGAUGCUAAUGUUUAUCAACUUUUUGGAUGAUGUUUCUAAAUUUCAGUGCAAUAGAAGAAAUAAUAUAAGACACAAAGAAGAAUUAAGACUGAUGUGGCCAACAGAUGAAGGAAUGGCAAACAAUAUAAAGAAAAUAUUCAUAUUGAAAUUGUUUUAAAUUAAUAGUGGGCAUUUUUAUUCUAUACAGUUCAUAAUUUUAAAAUAAUUUCAAAUUUUAUUUUAAAGGUAUACAGGUGCACAGUUGUUAUGUGGAUCUAUUACAUGAUCCUGAGGUUUGGGGUAUGGAUGAUGCCAUCACCCAGGUAGUGAGCGUAGUGCCCAGCAGGUUUUAUAAUUUUUCAGCCUACUCCCACCCACUCUUAGUAGUCCCCAGUGUCUGUUGUUCACAUCUUUAUAUCCAUGUGUACUCAGUAUCUAGCUCUCAUUUAUAAGUACGGAUAUGCAGUAUUUGUUUUUCUGUUCCUGUGUUAAUUUGCCUAAGAUAAUGGCCUCUAGCUGCAACCAUCUUGCUGCAAAAGACAAGAUUUCAUUCUCUUCUAUGGCUGUGUAAUAUACCAUGGUGUGUUCCUACCAUGUUCUCUUUAUUCAGUCCACCACUGAUAGGCACCUAGGUUGAUUCCAUGUCUUUACUGUUGUGAUGGAAAAUAUUCAUGUUUCAGAAGUAAGGAAAGAAGAGAGGGACGACAAGACAGGUUAUCAGUGUUUCAGAGCAAUUGUCUUUAGACUGACUGUCUCAUGGAGUUUGUAUGUUUUUAGUCUAAAUCUCCAAUCUGAUUUUUGUUUAUAGGAGAUUUACAAUGGACAUUUCUGCAUUUUAGAAGUAGACUAUGUUGUACAAUCUCCUGUUAUUUCUUGGCUGUGUCUUUAUGUGUGAAUGUGUUUUCUGUUGAUGAAACAAGGAAAAAUAUAUACUUAAAACACCCAAAUAUAUCUGUAGAUAAUUUACAUGUCAGUUAGAUGAACUAUUACUGUUUUUGAUAGAAAAUUCAUGUGGCUUAAUUAAGCAAGGGAAAGGUUUGUUUCUCUCUUAAAUGUAGAGAGGUAGAUGGUCCAGGGUUGGUGUGUCGGUCCCACAGCCAUUAGGACUUAGGCAUCUUUGUUAGUCAUUCCUUGCCAUUCAUGUCAUGUGUCUCCUCAUGGUCCUAGGUGGAUGCUGUAGUCUGACCAUGAUGCAUUUCAGCAUGCACGAAGGAGGAGAGUAGUAGAUGAAAAUGGGCAGGGGUGGGAGGGAGCAUAUGCUUAGCUGUCUUUUAAGGAGGUUUCUGAAUGUUGCCAAGUAGUACUUACACCCGUCUCCUUGGCCAGAACUGUAGGUACAUGGAACAAGGUACAUUGUUUUAUGCCUAACUAAAAAUCAGGAUUUGUAUUACUGAGAAAUGAGAGAAUGGAUAUUGGGCUAGUAGAGUAACAAUCUUGGCCCCAUCAUAUGCAUGUGCUCGCUCGCUCACUCUUGCUCGCUCGCUCGCUCUCUCAUUUAAGUGUGAUAAGAGCAAAAGAAACAUUUCUAAUACAAAUCAGAACAAUAAUCCCUUGGGCCCUUUUCUCUGCUGAAUGUAAAGUUUUCAUAAUGAGGCCUUAUCCGGCUCGGAAGGUGCCUUUGACACUAGAGUUCCCUUGACAUCAUCCAGGAUAUUCUGCCGGUGAAAGGAACAGGUGAGAGAAGCAGGGAGGCUGGUCUUCCUUGGGAGGAGACCCGACCUGGAGGUGCAGUCAAUUCUCAUUCUGUUGUUUUGGGCAACCUUCUGUAGAAGAGCAGGGUUGUGCAACUGAGUACUGAGUCUGAGCCCUUUGUGACCAUCCUGAGAGAACACAUCCGGGAGGAAAGAGUCCUGUAUUUUAGGAAAUUCAUUCUUCUUUUGUUGUGUCUGUAUUAAAUUCAGAAAGAAGUAAGGCUGGCCAGCGAGACUUGGGAGGGCGCAAAUUACAUCCUUCUGAAUUGCUGAGCACAGGUCCAUGUGAUAGGCACUCAGUAAUUACUUUAAUGACAGUGAUCCGAUGGUGUUAAAACUAUCAUAAUUUCAAACUCUGUAACUUCAUGAAUGAUUUUAUUUUAAAAACACAUACUGUCCUCUUUAAUUUAUGCUUACAGUUGUAUUUGUGAUCAAAUCAAGUGUCCUCUAUAAUCUAGAACGUACUCUUAAAAUAGUAGACUGCUCUUAUGCUCCAAAAUUUAAAACUGAAAGAACAAGUAACUUUCUUGUUUUAGUAUUUGGAAGUCAUUUCAGAAUCAUAUAAGGAGGUUAGCCAAAGAGAAAUGUUGAUGUAAAUUUUGCUUUGUGCAUUUUGUGCCAUUUUUCAACUCACUUGAUUUUACUGCUGAAAUUACACAUGCAUUAUUUAAAAAUCCCAGUGGUAUAGUCUGAAAGACAUAAAUCACCUUAUUUUGAUCAGUUUUUGAAGAUUGAAACAAAACUAAUGAAAAAUGUUCUUCAUUAUGCGGAAGAGACUUAGCUGAAAUUUUUCUUUUUUGACCUUGGAAAAUGUUCAUGUAAUAUAAUUAGGGCUUUUUGCACUUGUCGUUUCAUUGCUAAUUGUUGUUUUAUACUUAUAAUUCAUCAGAUAAGAGCUAAUGUGUUAAAUCUUCAAUGCAUGAAGUUGAAAAUGUAAGAAAAUUGUAAAACUCACCUUUGUUCCUAUUCUUUAAUUCAGAAGAUAUUUUCUUAUUUUUUUGGUGUACUCAAAAAUAUACUUUUGCAUGUAUGUAUAUAAAUAUAUACAUGCACAUAUAUUUACACACCUAUAUAAUGUAUAACAUGUAUAGGUUAUAUGUUAUGUAAUAUACACAUAGUAUGUAUACCAUCAAUUUAUAAUAUGCAUAUAUACUAUGUUAUACAUACACCUGUAAAUCAUAGGAUACACAGACAAGCCCCAGGAAUGGCAGCUACCUAUGUUAUACCAUCCUGCUGGGUGAUGCUUUUCAUAUUCUUUUAAUCAACAACUAACUUUCAUAAUUUGAAUUAAUUUGUCACAGACUAAUUAUUGAAAAUAUAGGUAAUGUUUAGGUUUUUUUACUUAAAGAGCUAUUUUUUACUGGUAUAUUUUAAAAAAAUUGUCAAAUCUUUUAUGAAACUAUUCUCCUGAUUACUAAAUGAAAUAUUUUUAGAGCUUCCAUGACCUCUUAAGGAAUUCAUUUUCUGGUGUGCUACUAACAAUAUUUUCACAAAAUGCUUUAAGCAUACAUUCAUUAGGUUGUAAUAGUCUUUUGGAUGAAUUAUGUGUUUGUAUAAAUGAUAAUUUGGAAAAGUUCAUGGAAGUCUGGUGUGAAGAACUCUAUUGUUUGACAACAGUUUGAAAGAUACUGAGUAUUAGACAUUUUUACUUCAAAAGAAAUGGAGACAAAAUCAUUCAAAGGAAAGCACUCACUUAAGAAUUCAUUAACUAUAAUAGAUUUUAUCACCCAUUAUUUGGGGAGAUGAAAAAGCACUCAUUUCAAGGUAUCAAGUGCCAUGUUGGGUCAGAUCUGCCUGCCGUUCUCAGAUGUUGACAACCAGAAACUUUUUUUUUUUGAUGAGGUGAUGAGUGUGUGUGCCUUUUGUUGUGUUAUCUUAGAAGAUGAGGGUUAUAAGCAAGCAUUCCUAAUGUUUCUCUAUAGCCUGUGUUUUAUAUAUUAUUCAUAAAUGUAUGAAAAUCAUUACUGAACCUAGUUACAUUUUUAGUCUGAGCCAUUUCUAGAAGGGAUUUCUUAAGCUUUCUGAAAAAAGUAGCAGCAUGUGGUGUGAUAGGAAACUGUAUUAUUAGGCUUAUAGGAGUGCCCUGUAAUUCACACAUGUUCAUCAUUAUGUAAAAAUUUCAGUUAUUCCUUAUUUAUUCUUCCAUUUUGUAGAGCACUAAUGUUUAAUGUGUCUUCAUGUUGAAUGCAUAUCCUCUUAAUUAUUUUAGCUGAUUUUUGUCUAGUGUACUUCAUUUCCUCUUGAGUUGUACCUUUGUAAAUUCUGUAGAGUAUUAGAGAGAGAGAUGCAUCCAUGGUUCUACAGAACAGAAACUCAAGUAGUGUUUUGUGUUUUUACUCCUCUUCCUGGCAAUACUCAACACUUUUGCUUGUUCCUGCAGGAAUGUACUGGCCUGUUUCAUUAGGAAAUAGCCCACGACAACUUAGGGAGCCAGGCACGUGUUGCUUUUCAUGACUCACAGCUCAGAGCCUGUCCCCUCUAGAGUAAGGUGGAGGUAUUAUUUUGGAUGGGUUACUGCGGGUUGUCCAUGUUGGUUCCCACCAUUGUUCUGCUAAGACUUUCAGCUGUUCUGUAUUGUAUAAUCUAUUUGCCUUGAAUUGUAUUGCCCCUAGUGCUUCCUUUUCCCAGCACAUAUAAAGAAUUUCCUGUGCAUUUCCUCUCCUAGGUCAUCAUUACAUAAGACCGUUUUGAUACCUCACACUACAGUUAAAAUUGCUCUUUCUGGAAAACGCAUUCCUUUUUAUUAUGGUAUCUUUAGCCCAUUCUCAAUGAGUAAGUAUUUUUUCUCAGUCUAAUGGUAAUUCAUUUGGUAUUUUUUGUAUUUGUUUUUGUGACUUCUCUCUCUUUGGUGGAAAAGCUUACCAGAAGUACAUAAAGAGCCAAUUAAGUUACAGUUUUAGGCCCUUAUUUUGUCAAAGCAUUCAUUUUUCAAAGUGUUUUGGUAAGAUAUUUAUAUUUACAGUUUUUUUGUUUGUUUUGCCUAGAAGAUAGGAUGAGCUUAUAUAGCAUACCCAGUUUGAGUAUAAGGCAGGAAAAUACAUUCUUUAGGGGCGAAUAAUUUAUUUUGUACUAUUCUUUCUGGAGAUAAAAUUAGUAAUACAUAUUAAAAAUUUUAAAGCUUGAGCCUUUUCGCUUCAGGACAUUGAUCUGGGAAAUAAUUUUAUGAAUAAGAUCUCAAAAACACAGGCAACAAAAGUAAAACUAAAUGGGAUUAUUUCAAAGUUAAAAUCUGUGCAACAAAGGAAGUAACAGAAUGAAAAGACAGCGUACAGAAUGGGAGAAAAUAUUUGCACACUCUUCAUCUCAAAGGGGACUAAUAUACGGAAUAUAUUAGGAAUGUAAACAUCUCAACAGCCAAAAAAAAAAAAAAAAAAAA
ensembl:lncRNA